GACCUCGCGCGAUUGGAGCGGCCGAUAUCAGAUUAGGUAGUUGGUGAGGUAAAGGCUCACCAAGCCGACGAUCUGUAGCUGGUCUGAGAGGACGACCAGCCACACUGGGACUGAGACACGGCCCAGACUCCUACGGGAGGCAGCAGUGGGGAAGUUUUGGUACAAUGGGCGCAAGCCUGAUCCAGCAAUGCCGCGUGCAGGAUGAAGGCCUUCGGGUUGUAAACUGCUUUUGUACGGAACGAAACGGUGAGCUCUAAUACAGUUUGCUAAUGACGGUACCGUAAGAAUAAGCACCGGCUAACUACGUG
rnacentral:rRNA from 1 species